rnacentral:lncRNA from 1 species
UUUAGCGAUCUGGUUGCAACUAAGGUAAACGUUUAUCAUGCAAAUAUUGCUCUCUCCUUGGCGAUACCUUGUUGGUAGAAGUAGAAUUUAAAAUAUAUUAUUGCCAUUUGCCAGCUGACCUGUGACACAGCAGCAGUGUAUUACAUUUUCAAUGAGCAGUCUGUCUGGAGCUGCUAGUGGGAGAAACUGCUUCCUGGUUUCUAGGGGAGGCAGAUGAUGAAUAAAUGAACAAAAAAUAUAAUAAUGGAUAUGUAUUUAUAAGUGCUAUGAAGAGAAGAAAUCCAAGCAAGAAGAGAGUGAAAUGAGGUAUCCUGUAAGAACAAAUUGCUGCCUCCUCCAGGUGGAAAGGGAUCAAAUAUAAUUAAUCUGUGUGUGCCACACAGUAGCUUGAUAGUUUAAUUGAGGAAUGUUGACAUAUUGAGAGCUCAGCAUUACUUUCUGCUAUCAGCAGUGACGGCAUAAGAGCUGUAUCCUAACUGCACUGCUGAAUUUGGGCUUCCUGUGGGGGCACGGCAAGUGCCCUCUUUGAGAGUGAGGAGGCUGAGAGUCUCACACCAACAGGAAUGAGUGCUUUGAAAUUAACUGGUGUUUGGAAAUUGAUCUGCUGACUGAGCUGGGCUCUCAAGCUCUUCUCGACAACCAUGUAAGAAGCGAUGACAAUUGUACUACUUCAUAACAGCUGCAUGGAACUCUGACACACACUUCACAGCAACCAGUCAUCUAUAUAAACCAAUUUCAGGAGCAAAAUUGCAUGGUGCCUCCACUCUGUUAUAAACACAAUGAUAUCCACUCAAAGCUGAUAAAUGCACUACAUUUCUCUGCAGCUUAAAAGAAUAAGUUCCUUGCAUCUGAGAUUUCCUUCCCACAAAUUAAGUCAUUUUUUUUGUCCUAGCCAUUAAUUUAAAACUUUAGAAAGAACAAGACCAUUUAGAUUUUGAAUACCCGUAAAAUAAAGAAAUUUCAGUCUUAACAUUUUGGUUCUCCAACUAAAUACACUUUCAAUUUUUUUUGGAAUAUCUCUGCCAGACUUUCCUAAUUGAUGAUCUGAAGGAGAAAGCAAAAGGAAGAAGUAAUUAAGGUUUAAAAUACUUACCACUGCCAUAGCAAUUCACCAGUUAAUUACAAUAUCUUUUCAUAGGAUUAUACACAAUACAAUUCUUAUUAUUGAAUAAAACAUCUACAAGCAACCUGGAAACUAUUGUUAAAACUUAAAUCUUAACUACCC